AGUCGAACGUGAAGGCACUUCGGUGUGAGUAGAGUGGCGGACGGGUGAGUAACGCGUAGGAAUCUACCCAGUAGUGGGGGACAACUACCGGAAACGGUAGCUAAAACCGCAUACGCCCUAUGGGGGAAAGGCUUCGGCCGCUAUUGGAUGAGCCCGCGUCAGAUUAGCUAGUUGGUAGGGUAAAGGCCUACCAAGGCAACGAUCUGUAGCUGGUCUGAGAGGACGAACAGCCACACUGGGACUGAGACACGGCCC
rnacentral:rRNA from 1 species